CCUACGGGCGGCAGCAGUGGGGAAUAUUGGACAAUGGGGGGAACCCAGAUCCAGCCAUGCCGCGUGUGUGAAGAAGGCCCUCGGGUUGUAAAGCACUUUCAGUGAGGAAGAACGCCUGGUGGUUAAUACCCAUCAGGAAAGACAUCACUCACAGAAGAAGCACCGGCUAACUCCGUGCCAGCAGCCGCGGUAAUACGGAGGGUGCGAGCGUUAAUCGGAAUUACUGGGCGUAAAGCGCGCGUAGGUGGCUUGAUAAGCCGGUUGUGAAAGCCCCGGGCUCAACCUGGGAACGGCAUCCGGAACUGUCAAGCUAGAGUGCAGGAGAGGAAGGUAGAAUUCCCGGUGUAGCGGUGAAAUGCGUAGAGAUCGGGAGGAAUACCAGUGGCGAAGGCGGCCUUCUGGACUGACACUGACACUGAGGUGCGAAAGCGUGGGUAGCAAACAGGAUUAGAUACCCUUGUAGUC
rnacentral:rRNA from 1 species